rnacentral:misc_RNA from 1 species
UAGUACGUGUUAGUGGUGAUUUGAUUAGUUUUGGUCAGCCCUAUAAAUAAAAUAUAAGACGAUUACCACAGAGGAAACUGGUUAGUAGCAAGUAACAAGGCGACCACACAAGACAUGAAGCUGUUUAUUACAAUAUUGGCUCUGGCGAGCAUGGCGAUAGCAGAAGAUGAGAGCAGCGACAAACUGCUCAUCGCGGGCAACAACCGAUUAACUGCCAAAAUGUUUGCUGAGGUGGUGAAGACCAAGCCAAAUGAGAGCAUAGUAUUAUCUGCCUUCUCCGUGCUGACUCCACUCGCGUUACUAUCCCAGGCUGCUGUCGGUCCAUCUCACGAUGAACUGCUUCGGGCCAUCGGCAUGCCAAGUGAUGAAACCACAAAACAAGUAUUUGGCCAAGUCAACAAGAAACUCAGAAGUGUAAAGGGUGUAGAGUUAAAGCAAGCUAACCGCCUGUACAUCCCAAAAAGCUAUAAACUAAAUGAAGAUUACGAAGCUAUAGCUCGCGACGUCUUCGAUUCUGAAGUAAAAAAUGUGGAUUUCUCCAAGAAUGUAGAAACUGCCAAGGAAAUCAACACCUGGGUGGAGAGUCAAACAAAUAACCGCAUCAAAGACUUGGUAAAAGCCAGGUCCUUAACUUCGGAUACCAAAGUUGUUCUCGUUAACGCUAUCUACUUCAAGGGCCAAUGGAAAGAAAAGUUCAACCCUAACGAUACUGUAGACCGUGAUUUCCAUGUCACUAAGGACAAGACCAUCAAAGUUCCUACCAUGUACAAGAAGGCUAAUUUCUUAUACAGUGAAUGCAAGGAUCUUGAUGCAAAGUUCCUCAGGUUGCCUUACGUUGGUGAUGAGGCAUCAAUGUUGAUCAUCCUACCUAACCAAGUUGACGGACUUGCUGCUCUCGAAGAAAAGCUGAAGGACCCCGAAGCAAUAACUCGCGCCACAAGUGAUAUGUUCGAACGUGAAGUUGAAGUGCGCCUUCCUAAAUUCAAAAUUGAAACCGAGAUAAACCUUAAGGACGUCCUGAAAGCUAUCGAUGUAAAUAUGCUAUUUGAUUUCACAAAAGCCAAGUUGAAUAAACUGUUGAAAGGUGAAAAUGAUUUGUUUGUAAGCGAUGCUAUUCAGAAGGCCUUCAUCGAAGUCAAUGAAGAGGGCGCUGAAGCCGCGGCUGCUAACGAGUUUGGUAUAGCGUAUCUAUCUGCAACUGUUAACGAACAAAAGUAUACGUUCAACGCUGACCAUCCCUUCGUAUUUUUGCUAACCAGAGACAAAACACCUUUAUUUGGUGGAGUGUACCAAGCUUAGAGUCCACAUUACCGUAGUACGAUCCUACUAUAAUAAGACAUAAUUUUAAUGAAAAUCAGUGAUAUUGGGGAAGAAGAGUUUCACGCAAACCAUCCAUUCAGUUUUAUGAUAACCUUAGAGGAAAAGGUUUUGUUCUCCGGGACUUGUCAUUUCUAGCACUGGUUAAUUUUAACCAUCAGCGAACAAUCUAUUACAUUUAUUUUUCGUAAAAAAUAAACACUAAUAAUAUUAAAAGGUACAAAUGACUAUAUCUAUAUAGCUAUCUAUACUAUACUAUCUAUUAUAUACCUGUCGUAUUGUGAUGUUUUGGUCGUUUGACUUUUAGUCCUUUCACGCCAUGUGGGUAGUACCUAGUACAUCAUAAGGACUCAAUUUUCCAUUAAUCUACACUAUGUGACACAUGUCUACACUCUCUACCUAUGUGUUUCGUUCCUCUAUGGAUUUCUGUCAUAAAAAAAUCCUGUGAAUAAGACACCUUAUAGGUUUUUUUUUAAUUUGCUUUUUUAUUAAAAAAAAUACCCGUCCAAACCGUGUUGUAAAUACGUAUACAUUAUAUUAUGUAGUAUAAGUACGUUCCCUCAAAUAAAGAUGUUAUAGUCGUUAAAAUAAAAUGUUUUGCAGGGCAAAGGCCUCCCCUUUCUCUUUUCAACCCUCCCUGUCUUGAGCAUCGUUAUGCCAAGUGUGCCGGAAGGCGUUCAGCUCGUCCCUCCACCGUCGUCGUGGUCUGCCUCGUCGUCGACGCGACGACCCUGUGGGGACCAAUCAGAUGUAAUUUUGGCCCACUUCUGCGAAUGCAUACGGCAGACAUGUCCCGCCCAAGUUUUUGUUGCCAUGUUUUUUCAUCUUUACGAUUAUUUCAAACAUUAUUAUUGACUUGCCUACAU